rfam:Felis catus isolate Cinnamon breed Abyssinian chromosome C2, whole genome shotgun sequence.
GCCUGGGUGGCUCAGUUGGUUAAGCACCUGACUUCCAUUCAGGUCAUGAUCUCAUGGUUUGUGAGUUCGAGCCCCACGAUGGGCU